UCCGAGUUGACCCCGGCAGUCUCCCAUGAGUCCCCGCCAUUACGCGCUGGCAACAUGGAACGAGGGUUGCGCUCGUUGCGGGACUUAACCCAACAUCUCACGACACGAGCUGACGACAACCAUGCACCACCUGUGAACCGGCCCCAAAGGGGAAACCACAUUUCUGCGGCGAUCCGGCCCAUGUCAAGCCUUGGUAAGGUGGGGAUGACGUUUGCGUAACAGAA
rnacentral:misc_RNA from 1 species